GUCUCCAGCCGUACCACCUUGAACGUGCCCUGUCUCGUCUGAUCUCGGAAGCUAAGCAGGGUCGGGCCUGGUUCGUACUUGGAUGGAAGAAAACAGCAGGACUGGGAGCU
rnacentral:rRNA from 1 species